rnacentral:rRNA from 1 species
GUGGGGAGCGAACAGGAUUAGAUACCCUGGUAGUCCACGCCGUAAACGAUGAGUGCUAAGUGUUAGGGGGUUUCCGCCCCUUAGUGCUGCAGCUAACGCAUUAAGCACUCCGCCUGGGGAGUACGGUCGCAAGACUGAAACUCAAAGGAAUUGACGGGGGCCCGCACAAGCGGUGGAGCAUGUGGUUUAAUUCGAAGCAACGCGAAGAACCUUACCAGGUCUUGACAUCCUCUGACAAUCCUAGAGAUAGGACGUCCCCUUCGGGGGCAGAGUGACAGGUGGUGCAUGGUUGUCGUCAGCUCGUGUCGUGAGAUGUUGGGUUAAGUCCCGCAACGAGCGCAACCCUUGAUCUUAGUUGCCAGCAUUCAGUUGGGCACUCUAAGGUGACUGCCGGUGACAAACCGGAGGAAGGUGGGGAUGACGUCAAAUCAUCAUGCCCCUUAUGACCUGGGCUACACACGUGCUACAAUGGACAGAACAAAGGGCAGCGAAACCGCGAGGUUAAGCCAAUCCCACAAAUCUGUUCUCAGUUCGGAUCGCAGUCUGCAACUCGACUGCG